rnacentral:lncRNA from 1 species
GUUUCGCUUUUGUUUUUAAUAUGUUGUAAGGUUAAGGCUAGAUAUUAAUUAAAAAGGGGUUUAAAUAAUUAAUUAGACUGUAUUUAAGAUAAUAUGACUUAAUAACCGGGAUGUGAAUUUUAGUCACUUCAAUGGAUUCAAUAAUUAAUUUGUAUAAAUAAAAGAUCCAGUUUUCACAAAACUAUAUUGAUUUAAAAAAACAAGUCUCACACUGUCGCACUAUUGACUUGUACUAUACUAAAUAAAACUAAUGCUUUGCUGUCGCUCACUCACUGUUUAUAAAAUACUUUUUGAAAAUCAGUAUAAUUUAAUUAACUUUAAAGAGUUGUCGCGGUGUUUAAAAUUAAUGUUCAGUUUUUACUAUCUGGUAUAAAUUUAACACUGUCGCGCUAUUAAUUUAUACCUUAGUUAGUUUUCACUCUCGUGCAAAAUCUUUAAUUUAAUUAUUAAAAACUGAUACAGAAAACUAGUUUAAAAAUUGAGUAUACAAAUUAACUACCGAGUCCAAAUUAGCUUUCAACUUCACAUCCCAGUUUUAAUAAAUUAGUUAGGCAUAGUUACCGGUAACGACAUAAUAGUUAAAAUUGUUUAAAAUUAAUUAAUUAAUUAAACAGUGACGAACAGUUACUGAAUUGAAGAAAAACAAAUAAAUUGCAGUAACUAAAUAAAUAGACAAAUAGAAUAAAGCUGCGAAGAGGAGAUAUUUGUUCCUAAUCGUGCCUUUGUUGGCGUGAGAUUCGGCCGGAAGAGAUAAAGCUGCGUGAUAUUUGGAAGAUAUAAAGCUGUUGUGUGAUAUUUGGGAGGAGUGGCGAGGGCCACGUAUGAGUGUGGCGUACGCCACUCAUCAUAACUCUUCCUAGAAUAUAGCAUCACGUGAUGCAUACAAAACACACACAUGGCGAACGCCACAAGAAGACUUAUGUUGGUUGCUUGAAUGGAUGUGGCGACCGCCACAUAGCUCAUGGCGAGGGCGAUGGCUUGGGCUGGCCUGCUGCAUUGUUUUUUUUUAAGCCCAAUUGCUUCUCCUCCUGCGCCUGCACCUCCUUUUUUACUUCCAUGCUUCCCAUUUCUUAAUCUGGUAACUUCCGGAUAUUCCUGAAAUACGUAAAAAUAAUAGUAAUAAUAAUACGAAAAAUGCAAAGAAAUAGUAAAAUACUAAGCUAAUUUUAUUAAAUAAAUAAUGCAUUUUUUGGUGUUAUCAAUAACCCUACAACAAAAAACACUUAAAUACACCUCAAAAUGGUAUAAGCUUAUGUGUCCUCUAAAAUUGAAAUCCUCAAUUUUCAUAAACCCUAAAUUUACCAAAAAAAAUUAUGAAGAUGAUAAAGAUGAGUAUUCAUGAGCCAUUCUCAUCUUCAUAUUUUUUGGGUUUCUUCUUGUUGCUUUUGCUGAUUCUAGAGAGGAAGACCUUUAUCUUCUGGUGCUUGGCUUUCCAUUUCUCUUUUUGACUUCAUUGUCUUCCUAGUACUAACAACAAAACAUGUUUUUAAGCAUCAUUGUUAAACAACCUAAAAGAGAUAAUAUCUUUUGUUACUAUAAGAUAAGAUUAAAACCAACUAAAAAUAGAAUAAACAAUCAAAACAAAACUCUAUUGAGAUUAAAAGUGAGUUGUGCAAAUCAGGAGUACCUGAAUAUCUAAUGUUGUAACAUUCACAAGACUUAAGUGUUCACAUGUCGUACAAUUCUAUUUUAUGUUUAACUUCAUUCUUUUUUUUUGAACACUUGGUAUCCGGUCUUAGGACCGACUAAGGGGACCAAUCCCACCGCUCACUUGCGGAGGCCCAUUUAAAGUCAUCGAUUUUUUGCUCUAUAUGGACUUAGCCCACCGAAAUUGACACCAGGGGAAACCGAAAUUGGAAACAAACAACAUCUCUUGGGUUGUUUAUGUACUUUUUUAUGCAAUUAUCAACUUUAUAACUUAUGUUUAAUAUUUUUUUUCGUUUUAGAUUGGAUUUCAAGUGUUAAGAGGUUUGGAAAAUGGACUCGGAGGGAUGUAUCCCUGCAGCGCAAAUCUGAUAGCUUGCAGACUUCUUUAGCAAAGUUUUUUUGUAAUUGUGACGGAGGUAGUAAACACAAAAAUAGUCACUUGAUGCUUUGGUUGUUGUGAUGCUUUGAUUUUAUUGUGACGGAGGUAAUUGUGACGGAGGUAGUAAACACAAAAAUAGCCAAAAAAAUAAUUGUUGUGAUGCUUUGAUUUUAUUGUUGCAGUCCCUAUAUACAAUAAGCUAAUUUUAUUCUUUCUAAUAAUAAUUGUUAUCGGUGUCUAAUAAUAUCUUGUUAGUUCUGUCACCUCGGACAUGAUUCAUAUCCGGGAAGGACUUGUUGAAUCCUGGGGGAUUUGCGCUUAUGAGGCGGAUAAAUCCUUAAGGACAGUGCGAUCAGCACGCCUCAGGUAUUGUAUCACGGUUUGAUAUUUUGCAGGUCGUUCAUCAUUUGUGAUAUCGUNNNNNNNNNNNNAUCAAUUACCGCAAUUAGAAGAUAUGUUCUUAUGAACUCUAUUUUAAUUUAUUCUCUAUAAUAUUUGUUGAGUUAUUCAAAUUUAUAUGUUGUUUAUUAUUGUGAAUAGGUCCAAUUUUUACAACACAUAUAGGGUUAACAUUUUCAAGGAAGCCAACAUCCUUACAUGCGGAGGCAAGCUUGAUAAUGAAUUACACCAAUUCAUAGAUAGAUGUUGUAGAAAUUUCAAGUGUACCAAACUAUUGGGCAACUUUUGGAGGCUUAGACAAUAGUAACUUUAAAAUAUAUAAAUUCCACAACUUACAUAAGGAUUUUGGAAGAGUUUUGAAAUUGCCACAGGAAAGAUUCAAGCACCAUAGAUAUAUUUUAAACGACCAAUUAAAGAUGACAACUUUUCUUCUUCAACGAAAUCAAGCACCCGUAAAGAAAAACAUUUCAAUACAUGGGGUGAAAGUCAUGAAAGGGCCGCUUGCUUAAUCUUAAUUUUAUUAUAUAAUAUAUACAAACAAAGAAAAAAAAAUCAUUUAACAUUAUUUAUACAUGUCUUUAAUGAUUCAACAUUAUGUUAUGUGAUUGAAUCAACUUCCCCAAAUGGCCUACAAAUUGAGAUAUGGCGGAUUUUGUUGGACAUACUAGGUACGCCACUAUCAUUUGUAAUGUGAAAAAUCUAUUAUGUGAUAUAUUAAGCAAGAUCAUGCAUCUUGAAAUAUGCAAUUUGUCCAAAUUCAUUUGUCUCAAUACCUUGAAAAAAUCAUCUGUAAUAUAAUUCAUUCCACAUUUUUUUACUAUUUCGUUCCCUAUGAUCACAAGAUCUUCUCGUUCAUCCUCAUUUGGUCCAAAUGCUCAUUGUUUAAACAACUUCCAACAAUCAGUAUCAGAGACCACUGAUAAAUCAUGAGAGGGCAUCGAUCCCAUGAAAGCUGCAACCUUUGAAAGACGGGUGGUUACCAAAAUCGAAGCACGUUUACCUCCACAAGCCAAUAUAGAUCUCAAUCUCCGCCAAUUCUCUUGUUCAUCGUCCCAUACAUCAUCGAACACAAGCAAAUAUCUUUUUCUUUGUAACAAAUCUAAAAGUUUUCUUUGCAACAGCUCUAGGUCCAAAUUCAAAAUAUUACUUUUUAGUUUAUGAACAUAUCAAACAUUUGUUUUUAAUUUGUGUCAUAACCAAGCUAUAUAAACGUGUAACAAAACAUGCUCUAAAUACAUAAAUCUCGUAUAAAAAAUUGUAAUAUGAACUAUACUCCCUUCGGCCACUUUUAUAAGCAAAUAUUCAAAUUUUGACACUUAUUAAAAAGUUGUUUUUUGUCUUGAUUUUAUGUAAAAGUUCUAUUACAAUUACUAAGAUAACCUUAUAAUAUAUUAUUUAUGUAUUGGGACUCUACAAUAUAAUCUUAUUGUUCUGGUAAAAAACAAGGGGGUUUGUAUUAUUGAUUAAAUGGUGUGAUUACACUCAGUUCAAUCCCAACAACCCUGGGAGUUUUAUAAGUCAGAAUUCGAUCCUUUUACAAAUGAAAGUAUGGAGCUAUNNNNNNNNNNNNNNNNNNNNNNNNNNNNNNNNNNNNNNNNUGAGAGGGCAUCGAUCCCAUGAUAGCUUCAACCUUUGAAAGACGGGUGGUUACCAAAAUCGAAGCACGUUUACCUCCACAAGCCAAUAUAGAUCUCAAUCUCCGCCAAUUCUCGUGUUCAUCGUCCAAUACAUCAUCGAACACAAGCAAAUAUCUUUUUCUUUGUAACAAAUCUAAAAGUUUUCUUUGCAACAGUUCUAGGUCCAAAUUCAAAAUAUUACUUUUUAGUUUAUGAACAUAUCAAACAUUUGUUUUUAAUUUGUGUCAUAACCAAGCUAUAUAUAAACGUGUAACAAAACAUGCUCUAAAUACAUAAAUCUCGUAUAAAAAAUUGUAAUAUGAACUAUACUCCCUUCGGCCUCUUUUAUAAGCAAAUAUUCAAAUUUGGACACUUAUUAAAAAAUUGUUUUUUGUCUUGAUUUUAUGUAAAAGUUCUAUUACAAUUACUAAGAUAACCUUAUAAUAUAUUAUUUAUGUAUUGGAACUCUACAAUAUAAUCUUAUAAAGUAGAACAACUAAUGAAGGUAAAGGUAAUUUUGAAAAGGAGAAUGUUAACUUGUGCCCUUAAGGGCACAUGUUAAGUUACCUAAAUGUGGAAAAAAUUUAUUGAACUUGUGGUGUAUUCAAUUAUCUAAACAUUAAAUUCUUUGUAUCAUUAAAUGCUAUAUUUCUAUUUUUAGGUAACUUAACAUGUGCCCUUAGGGCACAAGUUAACAUGACCCUUUUGAAAAAAUAGCAUUAAAUAAAGUUGAUUUUGGUGACUUUUGCUUAUAUGAUUUUUGCUGACUUUUGCUUAAAAAAAUUUUGUUGACUAAUGAAGGUCAAAUUUUUUUGUUGACUUUUGCUUAAAAUAAGACUGGAAGGAGUAUAUUUUAAUGUAAAAAGUUAUCUUACCUACAUUAAUUUAAUCUUUUAUUUAAUUUUUUUUAAUAUCUUAAGAGUCCAUGUAGGAUGUCAUGUGUCAAUUGAAUUCAACAUGGCAACGCCACAUAGACUUCCAUUAAUCAACUGUUAGUUGACUUAACAUUUGAGACUAAAACCAAAAUGAAAAUUAAUUGAGGACUAAAAAGAGUGAUUUUAAAGUAUAGAGACAAAAACCAAAACUUAAUAUAAAAGUAGGGACUGAAAACAUAUUUUACCCUUAAUAAUAUUAUAACAAAUACGAAUUUUACGAAAUCUACAGUUGGAUUGAAAGUUUAUAUAAUAUAGAUCAUCAAUAGAAAAAUUUAGAAAAAUUAAAAAUCAUUUGAUAUGUUAUUGAGAUCUAUCAACAUUAACAGUUUAUUAAAUAUAGCGCGGAAAAAAAAUGUUUAUUAAAUAUCGUACAUUUUGAUUGGUCUCAAUAACAUAUAAAAUGAUUUUUAAUUUUUCUAAUUUUUUUUAUAGAUGAUCUAUAUAAUAUAAACUUUCAACCUAAUAAUAAAUUUUAUAAAAUUUGUAUUCGAUAAACCACUUAUCCACGGUGGACCACUUGUGAAUGUGAUCUCGUUACAUUAGCCAUAAAUUUUUAUUUUUUUUUUGGUAGUAAAAGGGGCAUAAGCCCAACUAAAAGAAAAUUGCAGGAUGAUUAAAUGGGGGAGAGAUACACCCCGACAAUCAUCAGCAAGAACUUGAAUCAACUCUGGAGGAGAAUUAUCAUAAACUAUAGAAUCCACGGGGGACAUGUAACCUAUAUUCGCUAAAAUAUCCGCACACCGAUUUGCUUUUCGAUAUACAUGAAUAAUCCAUAAAUUUAAUUGAUGUACAAAUGUAUAAUUCAACUCACGUGUGACUCGGAUCUGUCCCGACAACUAUAUCCAAAACCGAGUCAUCCAUGUCAUGUCGUGUCGUGUCGUGUCAAUUCCUACUUCCUACGCAAACAUAAAAUUCACUACCUCCGUCAAUAACCGUUAACUACCAACUACAACAAAGAAUGUUAGCUAUUCAAACGGGACCGAACAUCAUAUAUUGAAUUGAAUUGUGGUUCUAACUCUAUCAACCUUGUCAAACAUGUUCCUUCCCUCAUGCCAUUGCUCACGCUUUUUCUUUCCCUUUUCUUUCGCAAUUUAGUUUUCUCUUUCCUCUUUUCUUUUCACUUCCAUUAAAUGCACAAGUUUCAUUUUUUUUCAAUAAAAAAUAAUGGGUUGUUGUUACAUUACUUUUUCAUGUUAAUAAAAUUAAUGGGUAGUGUUUGAUUUGUGUUUUUUUAAGAUAAAGUUUUGAUUUUUAUACUGGGUUUUCAAAAUGUGGAGUAGAUGGAAUAAUGGGUUAUUGAGAAAAAGGGUGUGUUCUAUUUUCAAUGGAAAUCAAAAUCAUGUUUUUGGUGGAAAGAUUCAAUCUUUUGAUCCAUUUUUGUUGAAUUUAAGGGAUUUUACAAUGGAAUGUGGUGAAAAGAGAAAAGGGGUUACAUAUUUUUCAGUUGUUGUGAUGAACCAAAUGAAAAGAAAUGUAUCGUCUUCAUCAUUUGUUUCUUCACCUAACAAGGAUUCAUCUGAGAAUGUUAAUGGGAAACAAGAAGCUAUAUCUUUUUCUGAAGCUAAGAAACUUAUGAGAUUGGUGAAUGUUGAAUCUCUUAAGUUGAAACUUGGUACGGAUGGGAAAGAAGUUAUUGCUUAUAGUGAACUUGUUGAAGCUUGUGAGAGUAUGGGUGUGGCUAGGAAUUCUGAUGAAGCUUCUGCAUUUGCUAAGGUUUUGGAUGAAGCUGGUGUUAUUCUUCUCUUUAGGGAUAAGGUUUAUCUUCAUCCUGAUAAGGUUUGUUUUUAACUUUUGUUGCAUCACCUUUCCUUUUUGGUUUGUGUUUAGUUGUUUGGUGAAUUGAGUUUGAAGUUAAGUAUAUGUUAGAAUUUUUUUUAGUCUACAAUCAGGUUUGAGAUUAGGUAAAAAAAAUCAAAACAACCAACUCUUAUAGUGCGUGUUUGGUUUUGCAGUCACAAAAUUGAUUCGACUAUAAAGUAAGUUGAAUGUCCAGUGAUUUAUAUUUGGAUACAUUAAUGUAAAAGUGAAUUGAACAUUAUAUUUGAGAGUAAAAAAAUCAAUUGUAGAAGCAAAAUUUUCAAGUUUUAGCUUCAAGUUAGAACCAAUUUUGGAGGUAUAACCAAACACACCCUUAUUUUGCCCUCUUGUUUCUGUUUGAUUGGUUUAAAUGCUGAAAUUGUUUUUGUGGGGCUUACCUAUUUCCUCUUUUCAUGGUCCCCUAGCCUUUGGUUAGAUUUGUGUGGAAGCUAUUGAAAAUAAAGAGCUUAGAUCCUUUGUGGUGGUGAAGAGGGUUAUCCUAUUGUUAAGUUAGAAUCAAGUGUAUAAUUGUUUUAAUAUCCGAGUGUUUCUUUGGAAAUCUGCUGCCAAAAUCAAAAUUCUUAAUGGAAAUUGUUAGGUCAGGUAAAAAGAACAUUAGAGGGUCUCCGUGAGCUUAACUCAGUUGGUAGGGACAUCACAUUUUAUAUGCAGUAGCCGGGGUUCGAACCCCAAACACUUCACUUAUUCACCUUAAAAAGGUGAAAUUUUAGUCACUGAGCUAGUUGACAAAAAAAAAACAUUAGUAGUACAAAUACAUGCAUUGAAAUCCGUGUUUUUCUCUCUUCCCAUUUUCUUUCUCUCAAAC